CAAUAGCGUAUAUUAAAGUUGUUGCAGUUAAAAAGCUCGUAGUUGAAUUUCUGGCGGGCGCGCCGGUCUUCCAAGUGUUGUACUGGGCGCAGUCCGCCAUCCUUGUGGAGAGGGCUCGCAUUGAGUUGCGUGUUGGAUCUGCAUCAUUUACUGUGAAAAAAUUAGAGUGUUUAAAGCAGGCUGUCGCUUGAAUACAUUAGCAUGGAAUAAUAAGAUAGGACUUCGGUCUAUUUUGUUGGUUGCGAACCGAGGUAAUGAUUAAUAGGGAUAGUUGGGGGUAUUCAUAUUUAAUUGUCAGAGGUGAAAUUCUUGGAUUUAUGAAAGAUGAACAACUGCGAAAGCAUUUACCAAGGAUGUUUUCAUUAA
rnacentral:rRNA from 1 species